UUUAACUGAGCGUUCAGUUACUUGACGUAGACCCGAAACCGGGCGACCUACCCAUGAGCAGGAUGAAGCGAAAGUAAAAUUUCGUGGAGGUCCGAACCCACGAGCGUUGAAAAGCUCGGGGAUGACUUGUGGGUAGCGGUGAAAUUCCAAUCGAGCCCGGAGAUAGCUGGUUCUCCCCGAAAUAGCUUUAGGGCUAGCCUCAAGGUGAGAGAUACGGAGGUAGAGCACUGAAUGUCCUAGGGGGUAUUGCACCUACCGAAGACUAUCAAACUCCGAAUGCCGUCAUCUUAUACUUGGGAGUCAGACUGUGGGUGAUAAGAUUCAUAGUCGAAAGGGCAACAGCCCAGAUCGUCAGCUAAGGUCCCUAAAUGUAAGUUAAGUGGUAAAGGAUGUGGGAUUGCACAGACAACCAGGAUGUUGGCUUAGAAGCAGCCACUCAUUCAAAGAGUGCGUAAUAGCUCACUGGUCGAGUGAUCCUGCGCCGAAGAUUUCCGGGGCUAAAACUUACUACCGAAGCUACGGCAUCAGUAAUGAUGGGUAGGGGAGCUUCCCAUACGGGUUGAAGCAUGACCGUAAGGAC
rnacentral:rRNA from 1 species